CCAAAUGGAGAACUAAGCAUGCGAGUCAUUGUAGCAAUACAAGGCAGACGGCUCAGUAACGCGUAGUCAAUCUACCCUAUGGACGGGAAUAACCUCGGGAAACUGAGAAUAAUGCCUGAUAGAACAUUAUACCUGGAACGGUUUAUGUUUCAAAUGAUUUAUCGCCGUAGGAUGGGACUGCGGCCUAUCAGUUUGUUGGUGAGGUAAUGGCCCACCAAGACUAUUACAGGUACGGGCUCUGAGAGGAGUAGCCCGGAGAUGGGUACUGAGACACGGACCCAGGCCCUAUGGGGCGCAGCAGGCGAGAAAACUUUGCAAUGUGCGAAAGCACGACAAGGUUAAUCCGAGUGGUUUCUGCUAAAGAGACCUUUUGCUAGUCCUAGAAACACUAGUGAAUAAGGGGUGGGCAAGUUCUGGUGUCAGCCGCCGCGGUAAAACCGGCACCUCAAGUGGUCAGGAUGAUUAUUGGGCCUAAAGCAUCCGUAGCUCGUUUUGUAAGUUUUCGGUUAAAUCCAUACGCUCAACGUAUGGGCUGCCGGGAAUACUGCAUAACUAGGAAGUGGGAGAGGUAGACGGUACUCGGUAGGAAGGGGUAAAAUCCUUUGAUCUAUUGAUGACCACCUGUGGCGAAGGCGGUCUACCAGAACACGUUCGACGGUGAGGGAUGAAAGCUGGGGGAGCAAACCGGAUUAGAUACCCGGGUAGUCCCAGCUGUAAACUAUGCAAACUCAGUGAUGCAUUGGCUUGUGGCCAAUGCAGUGCUGCAGGGAAGCCGUUAAGUUUGCCGCCUGGGAAGUACGUACGCAAGUAUGAAACUUAAAGGAAUUGGCGGGGGAGCACCACAAGGGGUGAAGCCUGCGGUUCAAUUGGAGUCAACGCCGGG
rnacentral:rRNA from 1 species